rnacentral:rRNA from 1 species
GAGCAGGCGUGCACCAGCCAUGCCGCGUGCAGGAAGACGGCCCUAUGGGUUGUAAACUGCUUUUGUGAGGAGAUAAACCUACCGAUGCGUUGGUAGCUGAAGGUACCUGAACAAUAAAGAUCGGCUAACUCCAUGCCAGCAGCCGCGGUAAUACGGAGGAUCCGAGCGUUAUCCGGAUUUAUUGGGUUUAAAGGGUGCGCAGGCUGACCGGUAAGUCAGAGGUGAAAAUCUACGGCUCAACUGUGACACUGCCUUAGAUACUGUCGGACUAGAGUUAAGUUGGAGUGGGCGGAAUGUGUUGUGUAGCGGAGAAAUGCAUAGAUAUAACACAGAACACCGAUCGCGAAGGCAGCUCACUAAACUUAAACUGACGCUCAUGCACGAAAGCGUGGGGAUCAAACAGGAUUAGAUACCCUGGUAGUCCACGCUGUAAACGAUGAUCACUCGCUGUUGGCGAUAUACAGUCAGUGGCUAAGCGAAAGUGAUAAGUGAUCCACCUGGGGAGUACGACCGCAAGGUUG